GGGGUUAUAGCUCAAUGGUAGAGCGCUCACCUUGUAAAUGAGAGACCCUGGGUUUGAUCCUCAGCUCCA
rfam:Ictidomys tridecemlineatus contig034115, whole genome shotgun sequence.